ACGGGAGGCAGCAGUGGGGAAUAUUGCACAAUGGGCGAAAGCCUGAUGCAGCGACGCCGCGUGAACGAUGAAGUAUUUCGGUAUGUAAAGUUCUGUCAGCAGGGAAGAAAAAUGACGGUACCUGACUAAGAAGCACCGGCUAAAUACGUGCCAGCAGCCGCGGUAAUACGUAUGGUGCAAGCGUUAUCCGGAUUUACUGGGUGUAAAGGGAGCGUAGGCGGCUAUGCAAGUCAGGUGUGAAAACCCGGGGCUCAACUCCGGGACUGCACUUGAAACUGCGAAGCUCGAGUACGGGAGAGGCAAGUGGAAUUCCUAGUGUAGCGGUGAAAUGCGUAGAUAUUAGGAAGAACACCAGUGGCGAAGGCGACUUGCUGGACCGCAACUGACGCUGAGGCUCGAAAGCGUGGGGAGCAAACAGGAUUAGAUACCCUGGUA
rnacentral:rRNA from 1 species